UCUCUCUCUCUCUCUCUCUCUCUCUCUGAGUUUUGGCGUGAAUUACUGUCGCUAAAAGCUAAAUUAGUUUUGAGUGGAUCUGUUGAUUUCAUUUGUUUGAUGUUUUUUUUUUUUUUUUUGAACAGAGAUACUCGUAUCUUUAAGAUAUUUUGGUACCAUAAUUUCUAGCGAUUAGAAUUAAGAACGGUAGAAAAUUGAUACCCUCAGCUCUCUAUUUAACGGUAGAGACAGAUUGAAUACACUAUAAUGUUGCACUCUGUGGUGAACCGGAACUCUCCGCUUCUGUAAAUUGCAGCUGUCGUCUCUGCACUCCUGUGUGGUCGAACUUAUUUUGCUGGAAAAAUAGUUACAGCAUUCAUGCUUCUUUUUUCUGUUGAACUUUUAUCAACUUCACAAGUGAUUAGUAAUCCGCUCCUCUUUUUCUGAUACGCUGAUGCUGUCUGGCAGAUGUGAAUAGUAGCCUUGUGCCUAACUUUUAGUCAUAGGGGACUGCGAUUCUUUGCCUGCACCCAUUAAGUUCAAGUAAGCAACCAAUCGACUGUUGUGGAAUCUUUUUGUCAAAUUGAUUUUGGCAAAACUAAAAGAGGACGGUUUCGGCAUAACUUCUUAUGAGAUAAUAAGAUAAUUAGUCGACCUACAAGCCACAAUAGGCGCUUAUGUGCAGGGGGACAUUCAACUUUACCUUUUAAGAAAAAAUUUAUCUCGUAAGUAAAAAGUUUAAGACAAAAAUUUGUCGACAGUGAUUUAUCUUCUCUAAAUUUUCCUUUUUCCAAUCAAUUUCAAGUGUGAACUAAGACCCAUAAUUUCGCAAUAAGUUGGAGAUUUCUUCCUUUAGUAUUUAGAUGGGUCAACUUCUCUAUUAUAAUUGGGCAUAUUUUGGUGUCUAGUGCAAUGCCAGAAGGAUUUCAUGCAUUUGUCACCGAGAUUGCUUUUUAGAAUGACUUAAAACAGAAGAGUUUCUGAGAGAAAUCAUGAUAAUCAUCACCCCACUUUCAUAGUAAAUGUUUUUCGGGUGGGAUAUCAAGCCGUUGCAAGUCCUUCGAAAAUUCAGGAAAUGGAAAAGCCAGUGGAACCUUAUUAUGAAGUAUUCUUGAGCUUCAGAGGACCAGAUACUCGCCAUGGCAUCACUGAUGUCCUUUACAACGGCCUCAUUGAUGCCAGAAUAUGAGCAUACAGAGAUGAUGAAGAGCUUUGCAUUGGGGAAGAAAUUGGCCUGGAGCUUCUUCAAGCGAUUAAGCAGUCGAAAAUCUCGAUUCCUAUAUUUUCUGAAGGAUAUGCUGCUAGUAAAUGGUGCCUCAUGAAAUUGGUCCAGAUGGUGGAGUGCAAGGAAAAGUGGGGACAAAAAAUCAUACCAAUUUUCUAUGGCAUUGAACCAUGGGUGGUGCGUAAGCAGACUGCAACUUACGGUGAGGCCAUUAAGUCACACAUAAAUAAGCAGCUGUACAUUGAUUUAGUCGAGAUGAGUCGUGGCUAUUAACGAGUAGAGAAUAAAUAUUUACUUGUGUAUAUCGAUGAUCUACUGAUAUCUACGCAUGAUGAGAUUUGGUCAUAUAAAUGAUAUGUGACCUUAUUUGCCAAUUGUUAUUAUUGUGUUCUCAGGUCGACGAGUAGUGAGUAGGCCUCCCAUUUUAGAAGUAGAGACGUUUAGAUUUGCACAUCUACAUAUCUUUUUAAGGUGGAUCUUCUGUACAGGGUUAGGGAAGCUGGAAUCCUUGCUGUUAGAAUCUCAUUGUAGACAUUCAUUUGAUGUUAAGUUAUUUAUUAAUUUGAUAUUCAAAUUGUAUGUAACAUUCAGGUUUUGACAAUUUCCAUGAUGCUUCUAAAUUCAUUGAAUCUCCAAGUCCUUCGUAGCUUAGAAGCUCAAGGAACCGGAAAUGGUCCUCUCCAAGAAGCUGCAAUGCCGACCUGGCCUUCCCCCAAAUUUGCUGUGCUUAGAUACCGAAUCAUGCAGGGAAAUAAAAACAUCAAUAGACCCUUCAAAUUUGAAGGCACUGUCAGAUUUGGAAGUUGCUCAUUGCUUUAAAGUGGGAGAGUUCAGAGGCCUCCAAGUUUUGGAGAACCUGAGUGCCUUAAAGCUUGGAGGAGUUCCAUCUAUGGACAAGUUGCCUGUCCCGACCAACUUAAAGAAGCUCCAGAAAUUUUCUCUGCAGUGAUGUCCUAGGGUGGUUGAGAUCGAAGGCAGACUAAAAUCGUUGGAGGCAACUUUGGAUAGGUUCUUUUAAAUCUUUGGAGAAGUUACCAGAUCCAUCAAGCUUCAAGAAGCUAAAAUCUUUUAUAUACACAAGCGUGAGGAGGUAGAAGAUUCUCUGAGUUCUGAUGGUGGUGGACUUGAAGGAAAAGAUGCAAACCGAUCUUGCGAAAUCCUACUUGUCUGAGCAUCUUUUGUUGUUGUUAGGAUACUUUUAUGUUCUGAGUUUGGUUAAUGGUAGAAUGUAAACGUUGGUUGCGCACCUGAUUUCAGUGGUUGGCCAGUAACUCAAAAACUCUAUAUGUGGCAAGCUCCAUAUACACAUGUAACAAUCAGAAAAUAUGGUAUAAACAUUUCUUCUCUCAAUUGUGUUACUAUUGUAUCCAAGCUAAGCUUCCAA